rnacentral:rRNA from 1 species
UUAUUUAAGAGUUUGAUCCUGGCUCAGGAUAAACGCUAGCGGCAAGCUUAACACAUGCAAGUCGAGGGGUAAUAUAUAAAAUAAAUUUUAUAUUUAUUUUAUAUAACGACCGGCGAACGGGUGAGUAAUACUUAUGUAAUUUACCUUUUGUUAAAGGAUACUCUAAAUAACUUUAGAUUAAUACUUUAUAAAAUUAAUUAUUAAUAGGAUAAUUAAUAAAAGAUAAUAAAAUAUCGACGAAAGAUAAGCAUUUGUCUGAUUAGCUAGUUGGUAGGAUAAUAGCCUACCAAGGCUUUGAUCAGUAGGGGGCCUUAGUGGGUGUACCCCCACAUUGGUACUGAGACACGGACCAAACUCCUACGGGAGGCAGCAGUGAGGAAUAUUGGUCAAUGGAGGAAACUCUGAACCAGCUAUGCCGCGUGUAGGAAUACAGCCUAUGGGUUGUAAACUACUUUUGUAUAAGAAUAAAAAAUUUUUUUAAAUAAAAAUAUAUUGAAUGUAUUAUACGAAUAAGUAUCGGCUAACUCCGUGCCAGCAGCCGCGGUAAUACGGAGGAUACAAGCGUUAUCCGGAAUUAUUGGGUUUAAAGGGUGCGUAGGUUGGAUAUUAAGUUAAUUAUGAAAUCUUAUAACUUAAUUAUAAAAGUGUAAUUAAUACUAUUAUCCUAGAGUAUAAAUGGAGUAAUUGGAAUAUGUGGAGUAGCGGUAAAAUGCUUAGAUAUCACAUAGAACACCGAAAGCGUAGGCAGAUUACUAAUUUAAUACUGACACUGAGGCACGAAAGCGUGGGGAGCAAACAGGAUUAGAUACCCUGGUAGUCCACGCUGUAAACGAUGAUUACUAAUAAUUAGAUUUUAAAUUAAUUUAGUUAUUAAGCGAAAGUGAUAAGUAAUCCACCUGGGGAGUACGAUCGCAAGAUUGAAACUCAAAGGAAUUGACGGGGACCCGCACAAGCGGUGGAGCAUGUGGUUUAAUUCGAUAAUACGCGAGGAAUCUUACCAAGGUUUAAAUGUAUUAUGAAUAAUUUAGAAAUAAAUUAGUCUUCGGACAUAAUACAAGGUGCUGCAUGGUUGUCGUCAGCUCGUGCUGUGAAGUGUUAGGUUAAGUCCUUUAACGAGCGCAACCCUUAUCAUUAGUUACUAACAAGUAAUGUUGAGAUGUCUAAUGAGACAGCUAACGUAAGUUUAGAGGAAGGAGAGGAUGACGUCAAAUCAUCAUGGCUCUUACAUCUUGGGCUACACACGUGCUACAAUGGUUAAUACAAUAAGUUGCAAAUAGGUAACUAUAAGCUAAUCUUUAAAAUUAACCUUAGUUCGGAUUGAAGUCUGUAACUCGACUUUAUGAAGUUGGAAUCGCUAGUAAUCGCGCAUCAGCAAUGGCGCGGUGAAUACGUACUCGGGUCUUGUACACACCGCCCGUCAAGCCAUGGAAAUUAAUAUUAUUUGAAAUUAAUAUUUAAUAUUAAUUAGAAUAGUAUUAAUAACUAGGGCUAAGUCGUAACAAGGUAGCCGUAUCGGAAGAUGUGGCUGGAAAAUCUCUGUU